rnacentral:tRNA from 1 species
AUUCAAUUAGUAUAAAAAGUAUAAAAAGCUUCCAACUUUAAGGUUUAAUAAAAAAUUGAAUA